GAUGAACGCUGGCGGCGUGCCUAAUACAUGCAAGUCGAGCGAACAGACGAGAGUGCUUGCACUCUCUGACGUUAGCGGCGGACGGGUGAGUAACACGUGGGUAACCUACCUAUAAGACUGGGAUAACUUCGGGAAACCGGAGCUAAUACCGGAUAAUAUUUAGCUUCGCAUGAAGCAAUAGUGAAAGACGGUUCUGCUGUCACUUAUAGAUGGACCCGCGGUGUAUUAGCUAGUUGGUGAGGUAACGGCUCACCAAGGCAACGAUACAUAGCCGACCUGAGAGGGUGAUAGGCCACCCUGGGACUGAGACACGGCCCAGACUCCUACGGGAGGCAGCAGUAGGGAAUCUGCCGCAAAGGACGAAAGUCUGACGGAGCAAUGCCGCGUGAGUGAAGAAGGUGUUCGGAUCGUAAAACUCUGUUGUAAGGGAAGAACAAGUACGUUAGUAACUGAACGUACCUUGACGGUACCUUACCAGAAAGCCACGGCUAACUACGUG
rnacentral:rRNA from 1 species